UACGUAGGGUGCGAGCGUUGUCCGGAAUUACUGGGCGUAAAGAGCUCGUAGGUGGUUUGUCGCGUUGUUCGUGAAACUCACAGCUCAACUGUGGGCGUGCGGGCGAUACGGGCAGACUGGAGUACUGCAGGGGAGACUGGAAUUCCUGGUGUAGCGGUGGAAUGCGCAGAUAUCAGGAGGAACACCGGUGGCGAAGGCGGGUCUCUGGGCAGUAACUGACGCUGGAGGAGCG
rnacentral:rRNA from 1 species